UACAGAGGGUGCGAGCGUUAAUCGGAAUUACUGGGCGUAAAGCGUGCGUAGACGGCUAUCUAAGUCGGGUGUGAAAGCCCCGGGCUCAACCUGGGAAUUGCAUUCGAGACUGAAUAGCUAGGGUACGGUAGAGGGAAGUGGAAUUUCCGGUGUAGCGGUGAAAUGCGCAGAGAUCGGGAGGAACACCUGUGGCGAAGGCGGCCAGCUGGGCCGACCCUGACGCUGAGGCGCGAAGGCGGUGGGAGCGAACGGG
rnacentral:rRNA from 1 species